UUUCUCUACUACUUGCCGUUACCGAGACUAGGCAGGACAAUCCGUCUCUAAUAUCCUGAUUAGGGCUUCAGGAAAUAACUUAAUACA
rnacentral:ncRNA from 1 species